CGCUUUGAAUGCGACCCCAGGAUGGGCGAGGCCACCCGCCGAGUUUAAGCAUA
rnacentral:rRNA from 1 species